CCUACGGGAGGCAGCAGUAGGGAAUAUUGGACAAUGGGCGCAAGCCUGAUCCAGCAAUGCCGCGUGUGUGAAGAAGGCCUGCGGGUUGUAAAGCACUUUCAGUGGGGAAGACAAACUCGAGGUUAAUACCCUCGGGUCUCGACGUUACCCACAGAAGAAGCACCGGCCAACUCCGUGCCAGCAGCCGCGGUAAUACGGAGGGUGCGAGCGUUAAUCGGAAUUACUGGGCGUAAAGCGCGCGCAGGCGGUUGGGUAAGUCAGAUGUGAAAUCCCCGGGCUUAACCUGGGAAUUGCAUUUGAUACUGCCCGACUAGAGUAUGGGAGAGGGAAGUGGAAUCUCCGGUGUAGCGGUGAAAUGCGUAGAGAUCGGAGGGAACACCAGUGGCGAAGGCGGCUUCCUGGCCCAAUACUGACGCUCAGGCGCGAAAGCGUGGGGAGCAAACAGGAUUAGAUACCCUGG
rnacentral:rRNA from 1 species